rnacentral:rRNA from 1 species
AUUGAACGCUGGCGGCAUGCCUUACACAUGCAAGUCGAACGGCAGCACGGGAGCUUGCUCCUGGUGGCGAGUGGCGAACGGGUGAGUAAUACAUCGGAACGUACCCUGAAGUGGGGGAUAACGUAGCGAAAGUUACGCUAAUACCGCAUAUUCUGUGAGCAGGAAAGAGGGGGAUCGCAAGACCUCUUGCUUUAGGAGCGGCCGAUGUCGGAUUAGCUAGUUGGUGAGGUAAAGGCUCACCAAGGCGACGAUCCGUAGCGGGUCUGAGAGGAUGAUCCGCCACACUGGGACUGAGACACGGCCCAGACUCCUACGGGAGGCAGCAGUGGGGAAUUUUGGACAAUGGGCGCAAGCCUGAUCCAGCCAUGCCGCGUGAGUGAAGAAGGCCUCGGUGUAAAGCUCUUCGUGGGAGAAU